AGAGUAUUAAUUUUAUGUCUCUUUGUGUAUCCCAGCCAAGCAUAGGCAAGCUUUUCUUGAAGACUGGUGGGAAACAAGAUUUAACAUCAGAAGCCGGGCUCAGUAACUGAUCAAAGGGAACUUUAAGAUGCAGUCUUGUGGCGCAGUUUGGGCUGCUAACCUGCUAUCUAAAG